GAGGGUAUAGCUCAGGGGUAGAAUGCCUGCUUAGCAUGCACGAGGUCCUGGGUUCAAUCCCCAGUAUCUCCA
rnacentral:tRNA from 1 species